UACGUAGGGAGCAAGCGUUGUCCGGAAUCAUUGGGCGUAAAGCGCGCGUAGGUGGCUUCGUAAGUCCGUUGUGAAAGUCAAAGGCUCAACCUUUGAAAGCCGAUGGAUACUGUGAAGCUAGAGUACGGAAGAGGCGAGUGGAAUUCCUGGUGUAGCGGUGGAAUGCGCAGAUAUCAGGAGGAACACCAAUAGCGAAGGCAGCUCGCUGGGACGUUACUGACGCUGAGGCGCGAAAGCGUGGGGAGCGAACAGG
rnacentral:rRNA from 1 species